rnacentral:lncRNA from 1 species
GAUUAUUCCUCGAGGGUUGGUUGGCUCAAGAUAACCACCAGCUUGAAAUUAAAAACGCAACAAAAGUAUCAUGGAUUCCUGCAUCACCGAACCUGCUGCUCACCUGGGAAGCUGACGUGUUUCACCUGAGGGCCUCCAGAGGCGCGUGCGCACACCGGAAGGGCCUUUCUCCAGAGAUCUCAGGUGUUCAGACUGAGAAGACGCUGCUUAAGGACAUAAUAUAA